AUCAACUUUCGAUGGUAGGAUAGAGGCCUACCAUGGUGGUAACGGGUAACGGGGUGUUAGGGCACGACACCGGAGAGGGAGCCUGAGAAACGGCUACCACAUCCAAGGAUGGCAGCAGGCGCGCAAAUUACCCAAUCCCGACACGGGGAGGUAGUGACAAUAAAUAACAAUACGGGGUUCUUUCGGAUUUCGUAAUUGGAAUGAGUACAAUUUAAAUCUCUUAACGAGGAACAAUUGGAGGGCAAGUCUGGUGCCAGCAGCCGCGGUAAUUCCAGCUCCAAUAGCGUAUAUUAAAGUUGCUGCAGUUAAAAAGCUCGUAGUUGAAUUUCGGGAUCAUCAUGUCGGUCGUGCUUCGGUACGUACUGGCAUUGUUGGCUUCUACCUUCUGACGAACCAUGAUGUCAUUUAUUUGGUGUCGUGGGAAAUCAGGACUGUUACUUUGAAAAAAUUAGAGUGUUUAAAGCAGGCUCACGCUUGAAUACAUUAGCAUGGAAUAAUGAAAUAGGACGUUUGAUUCUAUUUUGUUGGUUUCUAGGAUCGACGUAAUGAUUAAUAGGGAUAGUUGGGGGCAUUAGUAUUCAAUUGUCAGAGGUGAAAUUCUUGGAUUUAUUGAAGACUAACUACUGCGAAAGCAUUUGCCAAGGAUGUUUUCAUUAAUCAAGAACGAAAGUUAGGGGAUCGAAGACGAUCAGAUACCGUCGUAGUCUUAACCAUAAACUAUGCCGACUAGGGAUCGGAUGAUGUUAAUUUUUUAAUGACUCAUUCGGCGCCUUACGGGAAACCAAAGUGUUUGGGUUC
rnacentral:rRNA from 1 species